rnacentral:rRNA from 1 species
GAUGAACGCUAGCUACAGGCUUAACACAUGCAAGUCGAGGGGAAACGGCAUUAAGUGCUUGCACUUUUUGGACGUCGACCGGCGCACGGGUGAGUAACGCGUAUCCAACCUUCCCAUGACUAAGGGAUAACCUGCCGAAAGGCAGACUAAUACCUUAUGGUCUUCACUGACGGCAUCAGAUGUGAAGUAAAGAUUUAUCGGUUAUGGAUGGGGAUGCGUCUGAUUAGCUUGUUGGCGGGGUAACGGCCCACCAAGGCAACGAUCAGUAGGGGUUCUGAGAGGAAGGUCCCCCACAUUGGAACUGAGACACGGUCCAAACUCCUACGGGAGGCAGCAGUGAGGAAUAUUGGUCAAUGGGCGAGAGCCUGAACCAGCCAAGUAGCGUGCAGGAUGACGGCCCUAUGGGUGGUAAACUGCUUUUGUAUGGGGAUAAAGUCAAUCACGUGUGAUUGUUUGCAGGUACCAUACGAAUAAGGACCGGCUAAUUCCGUG